rnacentral:snoRNA from 1 species
AAAGGCGUGCGCCACCACGCCGGCUUGGGGGUCGUUUCUGUAGUUUGUGACUGUGAAGAGCAUCGGAAACCACGGGAGGAGGCGCAGCGCCCUCUCCCCAGCGUGAAGCGGCUCUUGGUGUCGCUUUGCAUCAACUGCCACUUGCCAAUGAUGAUGGCUCCUGCUCUCCUUUUAGGGGAGCUGGAGGGAGAGAAUCCAGCCUGAGUGGC